AUUGAACGCUGGCGGCAUGCCUUACACAUGCAAGUCGAACGGUAACAGGUCUUCGGAUGCUGACGAGUGGCGAACGGGUGAGUAAUGCAUCGGAACGUGCCCAGUUGUGGGGGAUAACUGCUCGAAAGAGCAGCUAAUACCGCAUACGACCUGAGGGUGAAAGCGGGGGAUCGCAAGACCUCGCGCAAUUGGAGCGGCCGAUGUCAGAUUAGGUAGUUGGUGGGGUAAAGGCCUACCAAGCCGACGAUCUGUAGUUGGUCUGAGAGGACGACCAGCCACACUGGGACUGAGACACGGCCCAGACUCCUACGGGAGGCAGCAGUGGGGAAUUUUGGACAAUGGGCGCAAGCCUGAUCCAGCCAUUCCGCGUGCAGGAUGAAGGCCCUCGGGUUGUAAACUGCUUUUGUACGGAACGAAAAGGCUCUGGUUAAUACCCGGGGCUCAUGACGGUACCGUAAGAAUAAGCACCGGCUAACUACGUGCCAGCCGCCGCAGUAAAAC
rnacentral:rRNA from 1 species